AUUGCACGCUGGCGGCAGGCCUAACACAUGCAAGUCGAACGAGUGGCGGACGGGUGAGUAAUGUCUGGGAAACUGCCUGAUGGAGGGGGAUAACUACUGGAAACGGUAGCUAAUACCGCAUACCAUCGGAUGUGCCCAGAUGGGAUUAGCUAGUAGGUGGGGUAAAGGCUAACCAAGGCGACGAUCCCUAGCUGGUCUGAGAGGAUGACCAGCCACACGGGAACUGAGACAGGGUCCAGACUCAUACGGGAGGCAGCAGUGGGGAAUAUUGCACAAUGGGAGAAAGCCUGAUGCAGCCAGGCCGUGGGUAUGAAGAAGGCCUUCGGGUGGUAAAGUACUUUCAGCGGGGCGGCGUUACCCGCAGAAGAAGCACCGGCUAACUCCGUGCCAGCAGCCGCGGUAAUUC
rnacentral:rRNA from 1 species